rnacentral:tRNA from 1 species
GGAAGAAUGGCAGAGUGGCUUAUUGCGUUGUCUUGCUAAGGCAAAGGGUGUAACAGCUCCGUUGGUUCAAAUCCAACUUCUUCCUCCA